rnacentral:rRNA from 1 species
AUUGAACGCUGGCGGCAGGCCUAACACAUGCAAGUCGAGCGGAUGCAGGGAGCUUGCUCCUGGAUUCAGCGGCGGACGGGUGAGUAAUGCCUAGGAAUCUGCCUGGUAGUGGGGCAUAACGUCCGGAAACGGGCGCUAAUACCUCAUACGUCCUGAGGGAGAAAGUGGGGGAUCUUCGGACCUCACGCUAUCAGAUGAGCCUAGGUCGGAUUAGCUAGUUGGUGGGGUAAAGGCCUACCAAGGCGACGAUCCGUAACUGGUCUGAGAGGAUGAUCAGUCACACUGGAACUGAGACACGGUCCAGACGCCUACGGGAGGCAGCAGUGGGGAAUAUUGGACAAUGGGCGAAAGCCUGAUCCAGCCAUGCCGCGUGUGUGAAGAAGGUCUUCGGAUUGUAAAGCACUUUAAGUUGGGAGGAAGGGCAGUAAGUUAAUACCUUGCUGUUUUGACGUUACCAACAGAAUAAGCACCGGCUAACUUCGUG